CUUCCGGCGGUGCGGGUGCCCUUUGCUCAAUCAUCCGGGUGGCCCUGACCCGCGCGCCUCGGGUUCCGCCCGCCUGCACGCCCAAGCUCCACCCCUCUCUAAUGAGCGAGAUCUCUCCAGCCCGGACCUCCUACAGUGCUUUAGCGGUGGUGGGUAAGCUCAGGCCCCACUGAGUCCCCACUAUUACUUCAUUCACUUGUUAGCAAGAAGUUACUAGGCUCCUUCUGUUUGCUAUAACUUCCAGGCCCUGGGUUCAGAGAUGGACAGAGCAGAUGAAACCUGCCCCGUAGGCACCAGAGUGGAGACACGGAGAAGGGAUGAGAUGUGAGAUUGUCAGGUGGUAGCAAGAGCUGUUGGAGAAAAGUGCCAAGAAGGGUGGACAGCCAUUCAAGCAAAGAGGAGGCCUGGGAAAGACCAGGAGAUGUUUGUUCCCACAGAGGGAAUGGACAGCAUGAUGCCCAGGAAGGAGCAGCUGGCCUGGGAACAGGGUGUGCAGUUCAGAUGAGGUGAGCCUGCUUAUCCAGCUACUGUGGCUUCCUGAAGUGGCAUUCAGAAACCACCUGGUCACCCCGAAGAUGGCUGCAGGACUGUAUGGGCUGUCAUGGCCUUGGUCUAGAAUAAAAAGCAGACAGGUAAUAGACCACUCUAAACUGGCACUAGGUUACAAGUGUGCAUAAUGGAGACACAGAAGAUCGGGGUCUAGGAAGGCCACACAUAGAAGGUGACAUAGAGCUGAGAGCAGAUGAGGAAGAUCUCUGCACAUGGAUAGGAGUCUAGAGGGAGCUGGGAAAUUCAGACAGUAUUUGCCCAUGUGCAGAGAGAGGCAAAGAGGUAUCUAACAGCCUGUUGUGGUACUGCAAGAUAUAAGAGGUGAGGCCACUAAGGUGGACAGAGGCCAGAGGGCCUGACUGCCCUAUUAGCCUUUAUCCUACAGAGAAGAAUGAGCCACUGAAAAGACCCAAAGAGAAGGAAAGCCAUAAGCCAAUUUAUCUUUGGAAAGCCUGAGCUGCCAGGUAAAGGACUGGUGGAGGGAGGCUGAAUUACGAGAUUGAUAAGGAAGCUGCUUGUGAGCCAGCAGUGGAGCUGGCAGGCUUAGCCGAUGUGGGGAUGAGGGAGAGAAAAGCUCGAGAGGAUGCUGGAGAAUCAUCACCCUCCCAGGGUCUGGACUGUCUUUAUCUUUUAACUCUGUCAGAACACCUGGUCAAGUGUUCCCUUUCCUCCAGACCCAAGCCUCCUUUUUUAUACUUCUCCAUGCUCACUCCCUAAUCCUGGUUUCCUUCCUAAUUCCCCUCUUUGUUAUCUUUUCCUUUCUUAAAUACAGAGCCUAUAAAGUGCCUU